AAAAAAUAUCUAGUUUUGUUGCAUGUGGGACCUAGUAGAAUUUUGCUGCAUGGGUUUGUUCUUUUGCCCAGCAUAUCUUUCCAUCACAUGUGGGACGUAGGAGAAAAAAUAUCUAUAUUGCGCUUUCAAUCACAAGCAUAAGUGGACAUUGCAGCUGAAAAUCCAAUGAAGCUGAAGCACCACGUACUUGUAGUUGCAGUUAACGCACCAUUAUGGUGUGUCUUGCACUGCCUCGUCAAACACGACCACACGCUGAAUCUGUCCUACUGUAACAUUAGAUUUGUAGUAUUGGAUAGCACAAGUUACUUUAAUUUAUGUUGAUCGCGUCAAAUACUUUUGCGUUGGACAUAUUAAGUACGGGAUUUGACAAAUAACUUUUAAUACUUGAUCCAGUUUGUAGAAAUGGCCGAUCCUAAUGACAACAUAGAUGAUGCAAUGAUAGACCUAAUCAACAGCGGUGCCAAUCUAAAUCCCCAAGGCGAAGAUGAUGAGAGUCAGUACUUUGCUGAUUAUGAAGAACUUGUGAGAGACAAUCUUGAUGAGGUCUAUCUACAAUCUAGUAUAUAUGUAUAUACAUGAAAUUAAAAUGAAUGACAUUUGUAUUAAUAUAUUUAGACUUGUUUGUGUAGCCCUCUGGAUUGGCGACAACUUCUGGGAAGAGUAGAAAAGUGUAAGGCCCGAAGAAGCCGUUGGAGGAUCGGUACAUUUUGACGGAAUUCGAUGAGGGUACAGGACAAGUACUUGGGGCAAAUUCUAAAAAAUUUGUUGCGCACUAUGGGUACCUUGUAAGGGACAGGAUCCCGGUCAGUGCUCGUGAAUGGAGGCAACGAAAAGAUGACCCUAAUAUUAGUUUUUUGUCUCAGAUCGUGACAAGAAAUUGAUUUGGCUAGAUAUCCUUCAACAUUUCACGCUCGAUACACAAGAUGAAGCUUUGAAGGAGAAGGUUAAAAUCUAGGCUAUGCAAAAGAUGGCCAAACAAUUUUAGGCUUUGAAGAAGAAACUGUACAAGACUUUUGUUGCACAUGACCGGACACCGGAUUUCACCAACAAGGCCUACGUCAAGUUGAGACCUUUUUGGGAUGAGUUUGUAGAGUUUAAGAACUCAGAUGAGGGUCAGGCACGGAUGAUCAAGAAUCAGGAAAAUGCUAAACAAAAACAAUACCACCAUCACUUGGGUUCAGGUGGCUACAAGACUGUUAUUCCUAAGUGGCAAAAGCUAUAAUAGGAGAUUCUUGACAGGGGGAUCGAACCAGAAUCACUGCACUGGCCUGAGUGCGCCAAGUAUUGGUUCUUCAGUCACGGGGGAACCGUGGACCUAGAGACCGGAAAGGUACUACCGUGGACCUAGAGACCGGAAAGGUAGUGUAUGGCGAAAUGCUCCAGAGAGUGGGACAGAGAAUGACCUAUGCCCGAGGAUUAGUUGAAAGUGGCACCUCGCAGCCAAAUAGGGAGAAGGAUGAGCUAACAUACGCCCUGGAGACUGCUGAACACGGUGAGCGAACAAGAGGCUAUGGGGAGGUAUCGUGGGAGCAUGGCUUCCCUAAAGAUAGACCGACUUAUAGAAGCUGCCAAAGAAAGAAGGAAGAGGAAGCAGAGCGGUUGCGUAGGUUGGAGGCAAUGGCGAUGGAGUCACACGAAGUGGCUCGUGAAGCGAUAGCGCGAGAGAAAGCGCUUGAAGAGAGAAUGAACGAGGAGAUCAAAAGGCAAGUGCAGAUGAUAGUAAGUUCUAUACAAAGGCAAACUGCGUCAGAGCCUGGAGUCAACAUUAGCCCCUAGUCAGUUGAAAAGCAGUUGCGCUUCCACGAAGAUGACAACUAUUCAAAACGACAUGGGGCUGCACUUUAUGGUGGAUGACAUCACUGAACCUCUAACAACAUGUGAGCUGCACAUUCCACAGGGGACUGCCACAGUCAUGGUUGCUAUCAGUGUUAUAACUCCUAUCGACCCUAUGAAGACACCAAGAAUCCAUGGGGCGGUAGUUGCAACUGUAUAUGCUAGUGUCUCGGUGGAUAGAGUUGUCAAAGGCUUCAGUAAUGUGCAGCUUGAGAUAGAAGGAGGUGAUGGAGAGAAGACUCUAGGAGAAGCAGAGAAGACUUUCAUGGUGCAAGCACUACAUCAUUAUUCCUAGGGCAUCACCUAGUAGUCUACCACCACCUCCUCGUCAUGAACCUAAUCCUAGGUGUGGAUGAAAAUUGACGAUACAUUUGUUGACUAACUUUAUUUUGCAUUCUCUUAGUUAGCGGUUUACUCAUAUACCUCUUUGAUUUCACAGGUGGUCACCAACUUUAUUUUGCAUUAUCUUAGUGUUGCUGGUGAUGAUGAGGGAGUGCAAGACAAGGCUGCAUCGCCUCGGUCUCCAACGCUACCACCUCGGGCUCCAACGCCACCACCUCGGGAUCCAACACCGCCACCUCGGGCUACAACGCCACCACCUCGGGCUCCAACACCACCACCUCGGGCUCUAACGCCGCCUCCUCGGGCUCUAACCCCCCCACUAGCCGCCCCAUUGCCUCCACACGUGGCUCCAAUGCGAAAAUGGUGGACCCACCCUUAAAGAAGAGGCCAGCCACACAAUCAAAUGUGUCAGCCGCCCCGCCGCGACAAAAGAAAGCCUCCGAAAAGAAACAACCUAUCAUUCCUAAGAAGUUGUCCUAUGAGAAGACUGAUGUAGAACUAGAUGCUUUGGUAAAGUCAGAUGUGGAUAGUUUCUUCAAGAAACUUAAGGCUGAAUGUGAAUCCAAGAGAAACCCUAAGAAGCCAUACCUCUUACUACGACCAGAAGAUACGGCAAAGGGUUGAGGCUAAAAAAAAAGAGGCGUGAAGCUCAGAAAGAAUCAUCAUCUUUAUCGACUAUGAUCACACUCUAAGGAAAUCCAUAGAAGAAGAGAAGAAGAAAGAGAAAAGAGCACGUAAGGGUGUAGCACAGCUCGGGGAACAAUCAAAGCAAUUAGUGCUCCGCUAGUAAUUGGAAAUGAAAUGGUUCAAACAUCAACGUGCUAGACCAGCAGAUACCGGCAGAUUUAAAAUUUGAUGAGCUUGAUUUUUUUUUUGCAGAAAUUGAUCUUAGCUUAGCCCAAAUGAUAGUUGAGGCAUCAAUUUAAAGUGCUCCAGAAAUUGAUCAUUGGCAGAAGGAAUAUGCAUAUGGCAAGAGUCUAUACAACCCUACGGUCCUUAGCAAACUUGGAACGCAAAUGUACAUGCUAAACAAAUGGUACAUCACAGUGUGUGGAAGAAAAGCAGAUGACUAUAUUUGCGUCCGAAUUAGAAAUUAUCAUUACUUCCGUGGUGAUGAUAUUAUUUAUAUUCAAUUUAAUGAACUAUACCAACUAUGCCACAUGGACGCUCUUGAAAAAUCCCUAAUCAGUUGCUUCUAUUUGUAAGUGAUUCUUUCUUUCAAUAAUGUCACUGUAACUUAUCAUGUAUAUGUAUAACUAAUUACAGAAACCUGCUAUACAUAUGCAGAAACAUGAUGAGGGACCUCAGAGUUAGAAAUGACAAGGAGAUUGAAUUUGUGGAUCCAUAUGUUGUAUUCAAAGAUCUGAAGACCCCGUAUGUCUUAUGGAGAACUCAAACGGAGAAAAAUCUACGGAGGUUCUUGAUAAACCAAAAAGACAAAAGAUAUAUACUCUUUCCCUAUAACUUUAAGUAAGUGUCGUUAUCGUGUGUACAUUCUAUUUAACUAAUUAAUCAGAUCAGUAUGAAGAUAUAUAAUUAUUUUGCCUACACACAAAUGCAGCUUUCAUUUGAUACUAAUUGUCAUUGAUCUCUUGCAAUGUCAUUAUGUAAUCUAUGACCCGUUGAGAAAACCACAGGAAUAUUACCAAGAAAUGAUAGAUAUUAUCCAAGUGUAACUCCGAUCUCUCAAUAUUAAUUUCUGCUCUUUUAACUCGUUAAUAGAUAAUUAGUAAUGAUCAUUCUAUUGCUAGAGUUUGGGCUCGGUUCAUGCAGAAACACCGUCGAGAUUUGAAAGUGCCACUUUUAAAGCCUAUCCUACUUCAGUGGGUUCUACGACAGACACCGGGCAACAAUUUAUGUGCGAGUCUCUGAUGGUCUAUGCCAAAAGAACUAAUCUUGAGCACCUAAAAGUAUGGAACAUGUAUAUAUAAUAAGUUUAUUUCAUUUAUUUGUUGCUAUUUAAUAAAUUUUAUUCAUACCUCUAACUUUUUUCUUUAAUAUCUAUUAAAGGAUAUGUGGUUGAAGGAGCAGGUGUUGGAUGUGGUCCGCCUAAAAGGAAUUCAGGAGACAAU
rnacentral:lncRNA from 1 species